AACAAACGCUGGCGGCGUGCCUAAUACAUGCAAGUCGAACGGGGAAAGCUUUCGGGUGAGUACUAGUGGCGCACGGGUGAGUAACGCGUGGAUAAUCUGCCUUAGAGUGGGGGAUAACUAGUCGAAAGGUUAGCUAAUACCGCAUAAGACCACAGGAGCUGCGGCUCAAGGGGUCAAAGGUUUUUCGCUUUAAAAUGAGUCCGCGUAAGGGUAGCUAGUUGGUGAGGUAACGGCUCACCAAGGCGACGAUUUUUAACUGGUCUGAGAGGAUAAUCAGUCACACUGGAACUGAGACACGGUCCAGACUCCUACGGUAGGCAGCAGUAUGGAAUAUUGCACAAUGGAGGAAACUCUGAUGCAGCGACGCCGCGUGAGUGAUGAAGGCCUUCGGGUCGUAAAGCUCUGUCGCAGGGGAAUAACACAAUGAAGGUACCCUGUAAGAAAGGAUCGGCUAACUUCGUGCCAGCCGCCGCAGUAAUAC
rnacentral:rRNA from 1 species